AUUGAACGCUAGCGGCGUGCCUUACACAUGCAAGUCGAACGGCAGCACGGGGGCAACCCUGGUGGCGAGUGGCGAACGGGUGAGUAAUGCAUCGGAACGUGCCCAUCGAUGGGGGAUAACUGCGCGAAAGCGUUGCUAAUACCGCAUACGACCUACGGGUGAAAGCAGGGGACCGCAAGGCCUUGCGUCGAUGGGGCGGCCGAUGCCGGAUUAGCUAGUUGGUGAGGUAAAGGCUCACCAAGGCGACGAUCCCGUAGCUGGUCUGAGAGGACGACCAGCCACACUGGGACUGAGACACGGCCCAGACUCCUACGGGAGGCAGCAGUGGGGAAUCUUGGACAAUGGGCGAAAGCCUGAUCCAGCAAUGCCGCGUGUGGGAAGAAGGCCUUCGGGUUGUAAACCACUUUUGGCGGGAAAGAAAUGGUCUGUGCUAAUACCACGGAUUGAUGACGGUACCCGCAGAAUAAGCACCGGCUAACUACGUG
rnacentral:rRNA from 1 species